AAUGCCAUACCCUUAGAGGGGCUGGGGACACAUAUUUAUAGCCCUAGGGGCUGCACUACACUGCACUACACACAACACUACACGCUGCAGCACACAGGUGCUGUCCUUUAGAUACUAAAGUGCAGUCAAAACAGCUGUGCUGCUACUGCUGUCCUCUGCUGUGCUGCUACUGCUGUCCUGCGCAGUCAAAAGACUGCAGCUGCAUGCUGUCCUGCUGCAACUGCUGCUGUCCUGCAGCAGUCAAAAGGUUGCUGCUGCUGCGCAGUCAAAAGACUGCUGCUACUGCUGUCCUGCGCAGUCAAAAGACUGCUGCAUGUUGUCCUGCUGCAACUGCUGCUGUCCUGCAGCAGUCAAAAACUGCAACUGCUGCUGACCACAUGACUUAUUCCAUCAUGUGCGACGUUGGUCUGGCCACGUCGUGGCUGUCGACAGUCCCUGUCCCAGUGGCCAAGCUUGCCGCAGUUGUGACAACCGUCGUCUCGUGCCGGCUUCUUGUUGCCGACGGCGCCGCCUUGGGCACCACCCUCAGCAUGUCCUCGCGCCCCGGCCUGGGCGCCUCCACGCGCCUUGCGCGUGUAAUACCCCAGGUGUUACGUGAACUAAAACUCUGAUAUGUCAUCAUAAGCAUUUGCAUUAACUUGCUUGUUACACCUAGAAUGCAUUCACCAGAUCAAAAUUUUACAAUAAGGUGAUGUUGUGUGGAGAGUAGAGGACCUAGUUAAGGACCUAAGCUAAACAGGAGUAGGUCAUCCCUUGAGCAUGUAACAAAUUGACUUGGAGUUUUGAAGUGCUAAAGGCAAUUCCUAGAGUCUAUAGAAAAUUUGUUUUCAAAGAUAGAUCAAGUGGAAGAAAUACUUGGACCGAAGGAUUAACUUCAAAAUCCUAAGGCUUGAAAACCUUGAUUGGAAUUGAGUGUAAGCAAACAACUCCUAAAUCAAGGAUACUUUGGACCUGAGUUCUAUAAGCCAAAGUUGAAUUUGAGAUUAAGGAGUAACUUUGCUUUAGGAGGAUGGAGAAGUUUGAUUUUGAUAUGUGGAUUACAAGUGGUGAAGUACUUAGGGUGGUUGAGUAUCUCUAAACUCUAAACUGGAGCCCAAAAGUUGAUUUGGAGAUUUAGCCACAUUUUGCAAGAGGUCAAAAUACCAAGGUGGUAGGAUUUCCAAAGUUGCACAAUUUCGUUAUUUGGAGAUUUCCAUGUUGUGUGGAGAAAUUUGGAGUAAUUUGUAAAAGUUCAGCUUAGUUUCAGUUUUGGAGUUCCUGAUAAUAGCAGCAACUAGGCAAUUUUAGUCCUUUGUAACUUUUGAUCUAGAACCAUUUUGAAGAUGAUCAUUAUAACAAAGUAAUAGAGCUACAUGAGGAGUAUAAGUUUGGUUAAGUCAUAUAGCUCUAAAACUAUUUGGAACUUUGAGUAAAACUGGUCCAAAGUAAAGCUGUCAAAAAUUGUGGAUUUCAGACUUAGUGAAAUUCAGAGCAUGAAUUUCAGCAUUUGGAGCAAGCUUUGGGCUAGUGUAGUUUGGAAUCCAAGAGGUUUUGGUCAAUGGUCACUAUAUCAAACUUGUAGAGGAGCUAUAGAAGUAUAAACUUUAUUAAGCAACUUGCCCCUAGAAACAUUUGGAACCCAGGCAAAAGAGUGGUUCUAAGUGGUGCUGCUAUAUUUCUGAAUUUUCAGAUUGGAAACAGUAACUGAAACUAAGUUUCAGUGUUUUGAUGGUUGUUUGAAAGCUGGUUUGUGGCUAGCCUAUAAAGUUUUAGGCUAUAGUAUUUGUAGAUGAAAUAAAGACCAUAUGAUGGUGAAUAAUUUUCAGUAAGUGGGUAUAGCAUGAUCCUACACGAAAAGUGGAGUAAAACUGGCUCAAAGUUGGACUGUCUAUGGCUGAAACUGAAUUUUAUUCAGUUAGUGAAAACUGAAUUUCAGUGAAAGUUUCUGAGUUUGGAGCCCAUUUGUGACCCAUUCAUGUGGAUUUCGACUAAGAAACACAUAGUAAAGUUGUAGGCCAUAACAAGGUGAAUAAGUUUCUUGAAGAAAGAUAGACUUGGUACUAUAUAAAUCUGGGAGUAAAGUACCCUCUAAUUUCCUUUGUCAGACUUGAGAGGUGCUGAUUUAGUUGACUGUUGAUGGCAGUUCUAGUGUGUUUUUACCCACCUUUGGAACCCUGUGGUAAUUAGUAUAAAGCGAGUUGAGUUAAAAAAAUUAUAGUAAAGUGAAAUACCAUAUAUAGGAGCACAAGUUUCCUUAAGUGGGUUUGGUCUGGUACUACACAAAGAAGGGAGUAAAAUGGUCCCAAACAUGUUCUGUCAGACUUGGUGAUAUGCUAUUUCAGACUUUGAAAUUGGAUUUUCAGUGUUGUUGCUCAACUUCAGUGCACCACAACUCUUGUUCUGAGCAUUUUAAGCCAUGGAAUGUUAUACCAAGUAGGAAGGGCUAUAAGUGAAGAAUAGUUUUGGUUAAGGAAGAUUGACCAGUUGACAUAUGGAAUUGUGAGAAACCAAGGUUUGAAAAGGGAGGUCUGCAAGGGAUCAGUGUUGUGCUGAUUCAGUUCACUGUUGGUUUGGUUUAGUGUUUUUCCUUGGAAUUCGGAGCUGUUUUGUGUCUGAUCCAAGAGGUACAAGACUAAGGUCCCAACGGCAAAUUGUUAGAGGGUUAGUUGGUGAACAAAGUUCAUUAAGGUUGAUUCCCUGUUGUGGUUUGAAACUGGGAGAAAUGAAGGAGUGAUGUUGUGAACUCAGUCAAGCAGUAGCAGUUUAGUGUGCUCCAAGAAUAUCUGAAGAAGAUAUUUUCAUCCUUACUGUGGCUGCACUUGUAUAUAUAUCGCUGAUGAUAUGGAUGGAGAACAUGGCUAAGCAUCUAGAGAUCUCUCCCAACUGAAAAUAUCCAGUUUUGGACUAGUUUGAACCUACUCAAAGAUGCAGCCCUAGCUGUUGGGUUCCUAACCACGUGGGUGGAUAAAGAUCAGCGCCCUGCUGUAUUUUGUUUGAUUAUGUGGAUUGAAAUAAAGGUACAGUGCAUAACUAGGCUCUAGGCGUCUCAUUUCUUUUCCCCUUGCUGAACGUAUUUCAGUUGGGCUUGUUUGUGCCUAUCCAUAAAUAGAGUCAUAUCUAUUUUAAUUGCUGUCUGCAAAACUAGACUAAAGGGAUAUUUGUGCUGGAGAGGUGUAUGUGCAUGAUUGCGAUGUGUGUUUGAGCUCACAUCGUGCUGGCACCCUGAGAAUUCUUCAUCACAGUGACAUAGACAGGUCCAGCGAACCUGCCCCAGCCCUAUCCCUUACUUAAGUGCUGGUCCAUGGAGCCCUGUUGUCUCGAGCUUUAGCUGGUUCCUUGGGCAUCUCUGUGGUAGUGUGUGCAGGCCUGAGCUCGUCUCCCUAGCCUCCAAGUCAGCUUUGUUCAGUUCAUCAAGUGCCACUCCAUUGUCUGGUGACCACAGCAAUCAUCCUUCCACCUCGCUGUGGCCAGAGUAUCUCGAGAAGUUUGUUACCCAGGUGAGCCUUGUUUGGUAAUCUCCCUGAAUUAGUGAAGCUCACCGAACUGGGUUUCCUAAUUCUACUGCUGUGUGCUGCUCUGAACGGAGUUGCGCCGCCGCAGACCGGAGCCGUGAGCAGCCUCUACGUCGACCGAACAACUCACGCUUUCUCCGGCCGAGUCCUCGCAAGCACCGACAACUAGGUAGAGAAGGUGGCCCUUCGGAUCAGCAGGGGCAGAUCCGACUCGGGGCUGCAGGAGCAAGUCCCCUUACCCGCUGGAGCUCCACGGAGUUUAUUGAGAGGCAGGACAGAGGGAAAAGAAAGGUUCUGGAGAUGAGGAAGACAGAUAACCCCUUGAGAUUCAUUUUUGCAUUAUGCAUCGACUUAUGUGUCAGUAAUAAAUUUUAAGAAAACUUUAAAACAUCUACACCAACUUUGCACGCAUUUGCAAUAGUCAGUGUUUUUAACGGAUAUUCAAUCAUAAAA